rnacentral:rRNA from 1 species
UACGUAGGGGGCAAGCGUUGUCCGGAUUCAUUGGGCGUAAAGAGCGUGUAGGCGGCCUGAAAGGUCAGCUGUGAAAACUCGAGGCUCAACCUCGAGACGUCGGUUGAAACCAUCUGGCUAGAGUCCGGAAGAGGAGUGUGGAAUUCCCGGUGUAGCGGUGAAAUGCGCAGAUAUCGGGAAGAACACCCGUGGCGAAGGCGGUUCUCUGGGCCUGUACUGACGCUGGGGAGCGAAAGCGUGGGGAGCGAACAGG